GGCCAGUUAGCUCAGUUGGUUUGGUUAGAGCAUGGUGCUGGUAACACCAAGGUCAAGGGUUCAGAUUCCCAUACUGGCCA